AAUGAACGCUGGCGGCGUGCCUAAUACAUGCAAGUCGAACGCGGGAGGAGGGAGCUUGCUCCCUCUGAUCGAGUGGCGGACGGGUGAGUAACACGCAGGCAACCUGCCCAUCAGCCGGGGAUAACUGCGGGAAACCGUGGCUAAUACCGGAUAAUCCUCUCCACCGCGGGGUGGGGAGUUGAAAGACGGUUUCGGCUGUCGCUGAUGGAUGGGCCUGCGGCGCAUUAGCUGGUUGGCGGGGUAACGGCCCACCAAGGCAACGAUGCGUAGCCGACAUGAGAGGGUGAUCGGCCACAAUGGGACUGAGACACGGCCCAGAAUCCUACGGGAGGCAGCAGUAGGGAAUCGUCCGCAAUGGACGCAAGUCUGACGGAGCAACGCCGGGUGAGUGAAGAAGGGUUUCGGCUCGUAAAACUCUGUUGUUAAGGAAGAACGCCAGGUAGAGUAACUGCUACCUGUGUGACGGUACUUAACCAGAAAGCCACGGCUAACUACGUGCCAGCCGCCGCCGUAA
rnacentral:rRNA from 1 species